rnacentral:rRNA from 1 species
GAUGAACGCUGGCGGCGUGCCUAAUACAUGCAAGUCGAGCGACCGGACGAGAAGCUUGCUUCUCUGAUGUUAGCGGCGGACGGGUGAGUAACACGUGGAUCACCUACCUAUAAGACUGGGAUAACUUCGGGGAACCGGAGCUAAUACCGGAUGAUAUUUUGAACCGCAUGGUUCAAAAGUGAAAGACGGUCUUGCUGUCACUUAUAGAUGGAUCCGCGCUGCAUUAGCUAGUUGGUAAGGUAACGGCUUACCAAGGCAACGAUGCAUAGCCGACCUGAGAGGGUGAUCGGCCACACUGGAACUGAGACACGGUCCAGACUCCUACGGGAGGCAGCAGUAGGGAAUCUUCCACAAUGGGCGCAAGCCUGACGGAGCAACGCCGCGUGAGUGAUGAAGGUCUUCGGAUCGUAAAACUCUGUUAUUAGGGAAGAACAUAUGUGUAAGUAACUGUGCACAUCUUGACGGUACCUAAUCAGAAAGCCACGGCUAACUACGUG